rnacentral:rRNA from 1 species
CAGCAGCGCGGGAAUACGAAGGGGGCUAGCGUUGUUCGGAAUUACUGGGCGUAAAGCGAACGUAGGCGGAUAUUUAAGUCAGGGGUGAAAUCCCGCAGCUCAACUGCGGAACUGCCUUUGAUACUGGGUAUCUUGAGUAUGGAAGAGGUUAGUGGAAUUGCGAGUGUAGAGGUGAAAUUCGUAGAUAUUCGCAGGAACACCAGUGGCGAAGGCGGCUAACUGGUCCAUAACUGACGCUGAGGUGCGAAAGCGUGGGGAGCAAACAGGAUUAGAUACCCCGGUAGUCCCUGUCUCUUAUACA